AUAUAUUAUUAUAUUUUUCAGAUGACGUUAAGACCUUUACCACCUUUACUGCAAGAAAAAUCUAAGAGGGAAAUCAAUGAGGAUCCUGACAGAAUUGCUUCGGACUUAUCAGCUAUCAGGGAAUGGAUCGAAAAACAACCUCACUUAAAAUCAGUUAAUCCAAGUGAUCAAUGGCUCCUUGCUUUUCUACGUGGAAAUAAAUUUAGUCUUGAAAAAACUAAGAACAAGUUAGACAUUUAUUACACUCUACGGACGGUCGUCCCGGAAAUAUUCCGCAAUAGAAAUCCAUUCGAUCCCACCAUACAAGCUAUUUUAAAUAUGGGAAUUUUUCUGCCUCUAAGGGUAUCUAAAUCGGAAGAUUCUUGCAGAGUUUGUUUACAGAGGUACAAAGACUUUGACUCUUCUAAAUAUCGUUUCGUUGACGUCCUUAAGGUUUGCUUUAUGAUUAUUGAAAUCUUGAUACUUGAAGAUGAUAACUUUAUAAUCGCCGGAGAGGAUUUGUUAGUGGACGGAACUGGUUUGGACUUGACUACGCUAUCUCAAUGGACUCCGGCUUUGGCAAAAAAGUGUGUAACCAUUUUUAUGAAAGCUCUGCCCGUGCGUUUGAAGAGCAGCCACUUGUUUAAUAUGUCACCUGGAUAUGAAACAGCGUACAAUCUGUUUAAGAUAUUUUUGAGUGAAAAACUUAAAAACAGAUUUCAUAUUUACGGCAAUGGUUUCGAGGCAUUGUAUGAUGUUAUGCCGCGUAAUUUACUGCCGAAAGAGUACGGCGGUGAACAGGGCACAGUGCAGGAACUAACGGAUUACUGGAAGAAGAAAGUAGAGAGCUAUAGUGAGUGGUACCUUCGCGAGGAGCUUGCAUGUUCAGAUGAAUCCCUGAGGCCAAACAAUCCCCAUACAAGUUCCACUCUCUUCGGCGUCGAGGGUUCUUUUCGAAAAUUACAAGUUGAUUAAAUAGAAAGAUGAUUUUAAUAUUUGAAAAAACUUGAUUGUUUUUAUUAUAAUAUUAAAUAGACAAUUGUGACAUUAUGAUGUUGCCACAUUAAUAAAUUAUACUUUCAUGUAUUUAAUAAAAGGCUUUUUGAAUUUGAAUGUUAAAAUACUGACGCUUUCAUUUCAAUGAUAUGUUCAUUAAGUUCGAAUAAUACAAUAGACGCUCAUGCAUCA